UCAUACUCAAGAUACUUAAUACUUGAUUGCUUUUGCACCAAAUAAAAGUAAACUGAACUAUUACAUUUCUUGCUUUCAUUCAUAAUUCUUUACAUUUAGCCAUUCACCAAAUUACAUAUUUGUUAUCAACUUUACAACUUUCUAAAUCAAUAAAAGAAGUUGAUACAUGUAAACCAAAAGGGAAAUGACUACAAAAUGUGAAAUAGUCCCGGUGGCCGCUAUCUACGGCGCUAAACCCUUGCCUCGGUCCUCCGCUGUCCCGCUAGUGCUAGGACCUGUAGGGUUAGUGGUGUGAGAA
rnacentral:lncRNA from 1 species